UACGUAGGGUGCAGGCGUUAAUCGGAAUUACUGGGCGUAAAGCGUGCGCAGGCGGUUUGCUAAGUCAGGUGUGAAAUCCCCGGGCUUAACCUGGGAACUGCGCUUGUUACUGGCAGGCUUGAGUGUGGCAGAGGGGGGUGGAAUUCCACGUGUAGCAGUGAAAUGCGUAGAGAUGUGGAGGAACACCGAUGGCGAAGGCAGCCCCCUGGGCUAACACUGACGCUCAUGCACGAAAGCGUGGGGAGCAAACAGG
rnacentral:rRNA from 1 species